UACGUAGGGUGCGAGCGUUAAUCGGAAUUACUGGGCGUAAAGCGUGCGCAGGCUGUUCUGUAAGUCAGAUGUGAAAUCCCCGAGCUCAACUUUGGGAACUGCGUUUGAAACUACAGGACUAGAAUAUGUCAGAGGGGGGUAGAAUUCCACGUGUAGCAGUGAAAUGCGUAGAGAUGUGGAGGAAUACCAAUGGCGAAGGCAGCCCCCUGGGAUA
rnacentral:rRNA from 1 species